UACGAAGGGGGCAAGCGUUGUUCGGAAUUACUGGGCGUAAAGGGCGCGUAGGCGGUGCACUAAGUCAGGCGUGAAAGCCCUGGGCUCAACCCGGGAAUUGCGCUUGAUACUGGUGCGCUUGAAUCCAGGAGAGGUUGGUGGAAUUCCCAGUGUAGAGGUGAAAUUCGUAGAGAUUGGGAAGAACACCGGUGGCGAAGGCGGCUCACUGGCUCGUUACUGACGCUCAGGCA
rnacentral:rRNA from 1 species